rnacentral:rRNA from 1 species
GCAUACGCUCAACACGAGGCAUUUCGAGUUGAGGAAACCUUCGGGGCACUAUGAGGGGCUCGCGGCCUAUCAGCUAGUUGGCGAGGUAAUGGCUCACCAAGGCUACGACGGGUAGCUGGUCUGAGAGGAUGGCCAGCCACAUUGGGACUGAGAGACGGCCCAGACUCCUACGGGAGGCAGCAGUGGGGAAUCUUGCGCAAUGGCCUAACGGCUGACGCAGCGACGCCGCGUGAGGGAUGACGCUCUUCGGAGUGUAAACCUCUUUUGCCUGGAACGAACUAUCAGCAUUCGCUGAUUUGACGGUACCGGGUGAAUAAGCACCGGCUAACUCCGUGCCAGCAGCCGCGGUAAUACGGGGGGUGCGAGCGUUGUCCGGAAUCACUGGGCGUAAAGGGCGCGUAGGUGGCAUGAUAAGGGUGUGGUGAAAGCCCGGGGCUCAACCCCGGGUCGGCCAUGCCGACUGUCACGCUGGAGUACUGUAGGGGCAGGCGGAAUUCCGGGUGUAGCGGUGGAAUGCGUAGAGAUCCGGAGGAAGACCGGUGGCGAAGGCGGCCUGCUGGGCAGUUACUGACACUGAGGCGCGACAGCGUGGGGAGCAAACAGGAUUAGAUACCCUGGUAGUCCACGCCGUAAACGAUGGGUACUAGGUGCCUGGGGGAGCGACCCCUUGGGUGCCGGCGCUAACGCAGGAAGUACCCCGCCUGGGGAGUACGGCCGCAAGGCUGAAACUCAAAGGAAUUGAC